rnacentral:tRNA from 1 species
ACCCUGGUGGCUCAGAUGGUAAAGCAUCCGCCUGCAAUGCAGGAGACCCAGGUUCGAUUCCUAGGUUGGGCA